rnacentral:ncRNA from 1 species
UAUCGUGAGGUGGAAUCUGAAGGAAGCUGUAAGCAAACCUCUGGUCUGACGAACAGAAAUCACAUCAGGCUAUGUAUGGGGGUAAGGUGGCCUAACACACCGAAACCCAAUAACUGUACGGAACUGUGCAUAGUAAAUGUGGCAGAUACGUGGAGGGAAAGAAAC